UUCUCUCCUGCACUCUGUGAUGCUUCCAUUUUGAGGUCAUUCUGUAAGUUCUAUUUGGACACCACGGCAACCCUCAGGCCACAGAGUAUUGGCAAACAGUUGAUUUCGUUUUUCCCAUUGGCAGAGCCGCCUUUCACAGCAGCACCCCCUCCCUUCUUUUGUUUAAGUUGGCUUCCGUGUUCCUUGCUGAAGAAAUUUACCAGAAUGUGGCCGUACCUGGGACUGAACUAAAAUCGGGAUAAUGAGCCAGGAACGGGAAGGCUGGAAAACUGACCACUGGGUGGGUAGCAGCAUUCUUUCUCCUCUUCAGAAAAAUGCAUGAACACGAUGAGCCCUGACGUCUGGAGAUGAAAAAGUGACCAGAACAUAUGGUAAAGUUAAAAAUUGAUAUUAAUAAAUGGAAAAGCUAGCUCCCCAACAGACGCUUCAUUUUAAGAUUUCAACCCGGAUAUUGGCAGAUUGCUUUAUCUGUGCCACAUACCUGAUGGCUGUCAUCCAACAGAAUGAAAUAUCUGAAACAAAACAAAAGUGCUUUUGAGUGAGUGGUGUGUGAAGUCAAUGCAAAUGGGCUGUUGGCAAAGAUUUCCUCAGAAAGCUGCCCAA
rnacentral:lncRNA from 1 species